UUUUCUGGGAGGAGGAAGGAAGAAGUAGGGUUAGGUUUAAAUCAUAGAUGUCCUUGUACGCGCGAUUCUCUCUUUAAUUUAAUCGGAUCUCUGAUAAGGAAAACAAUGGCUCGAAUCAUUUUGAUAUAAAGCCACGGAGGACUCCGCAUUUAGAUUCGUGUUAUGCGCAGUGAAAAAAUACAAGACUGGAAAGACAAUUCAAAGAUGGCGGAGACGUAGGAGACGAGUGACGUAUUUGCGACAGACAUCCAUCCGUUCGCUCGUUUUAAUUCUAUGACAACUCGAUUCUUGGAAAACUUGUGGAUCGAGGAUGCGCGAAGAUACCGAGGGACAUGGAAACGAGCAGAAGCGAGCACGUCGCGAGAGAGUGUGCGAGAGCUCUAACAUGAACGCGGAAACGCUUGCGUUCCAUUGAGAGGAGUCGGCACUCCAGAGGGGUAACGGUGGCUUCGAUGCUCCUCCAGUGACCUUCCGGCAGGGCGAUGAGUUGGCUACGGAGCAGUCCCCUGAGGACGAGCUUCAGCAAGCAACGCUCCAGGGAUUCACCUCCCAAGGAUGCGGAUCCCACUGCUUGCUACGACAGCUUCCGUAAACACUGGCAACAGACCUAUGACAUUAUUACGAAUACUCAGCCUCCGGUUGGAAUACCCAAUCAAGAUGACGUGUUAGGAGUUGUCAAUCAUAUAGACCAAAUGGUGACGUUGCUAUUGUUGGAGCUCAGGAACUCCAAUACCCAGAAUCGUUAUCGCCGGACCUCGACGCCUACUCAUUCUCCGUGCCUUGAGCAUCUGCUCAGUGAGAACCUGCUGGAUAAACUGUACGACUGGAGCGUACAUACUGGCAGAUUUGGCAAUGCGGUACGAUUGGAACAAUUGAAGCUGUACGAGCUGCUGGUUUCGCACAGUGGUGCACUUUUAGCUCAUGAACCGGUGACAAGGCCUCUGCUUCGAUUACUACAAGAAUGUGCAGACGACAUAAUGCCGGUGGAGGUGGAGAAGAAACUGGUCGUUCUGUUAAAUCAGUUGUGCGUGGCACUCAUGCAAAGCAUGGCUUUACUGGACCUGUUUUUCCACCCAACAGCGACUGGAAAGAACAAAUUCAUCAUUUUCAAUUUGUUACUACCACACAUUCAUAGAGAGGGAGGUGUCGGGCAACAAGCUCGAGAUGCCAUGUUGCUUUGUAUGUCCCUUUCAAAGAAGAAUGAUGAAGUGGGACAAUACAUUGCGGAUCAUUCAAACGUUUGCCCAGUAUUAGCCACAGGACUGAGUGGUCUGUAUUCGCUGCUACCUCGCAAGCUCGACAUCGAGACCGAAGACUGGCAUCGGUUGACACCUGACGAUGUGAACGAUAUGCCAGCCCUUACCCAAUUGAUGAACUCUCUGGAGUUCUGCAAUGCCGUCGCACAAGUUGCUCAUCCACUGGUGCAAAAGCAACUGCUUGAAUUCCUUUACCAUGGGUUUCUAGUACCUGUCAUGGGUCCGGCACUUCUGCAGGAUUCUCUCGGCUUGACCCUAAAUCAGCUAGAUGCACCACAGAACUGGACAGUUGUCGAGGAGCUGGUCGCUGCGACAGCCUACUUCGAUCUCUUCCUGAGAUCGGUCAACGAGCCUGGAUUAUUGCGGUCUUUGGUGAGGUUCAUGUUAGAAGACAACUACGACGAGUGCAGGAUACUCGAUAGCCUCAUCCAAAGGAUAUCCUCCAGAUCACGACUUUGCAUCGUCACCUUGGCACUGUUCGAAACCUUGGUCGACCUGAACUGCGAAGAUGUAAUGUUGGAACUCUGUUUUGCAGCCCUUAAUCCCUGCUCGCACGUAAUGCUGUCCCAAAGAAGACGACUGAAAGACGUGGAUUCUUUCGGUCGAGGAGCUGAGAAAUUCCUGUCCUUGACCCCGAACUGCUGCAUGCAAUACGCAGUGGCUAACAGUUCGACACCGCCAAACUCCUUGCCUCAGAUCCCUCCUUCCCGUAGGAAGAGUCCAAGUUCCACAGUGGAGGGUUUCAAAUCCUUGCCAGUGCCAAUCAGCUAUGGUACAAAGUUAUCGGAGAGCUUGUAUGGGAAUUACCAUGCGUAUCUCCUGGAUGCGAGACAAAAGAUAGCUGCUUGCCAGAUUGCCUGCUCGAGCUGGUCCUGUCGAUACGAUGGGGAGCCUCCGAAGGAGAGCAACACUAGCAGUGCCACCACUCUAGCCGGAGAGACCACCUUGGUGGAACAGUCGACGAGGAAAAUGGAGACAAACUCCACGUCGCAACCAGAAACAUUCAAGGACUCCAGAGAUACGUUUAAGGACCCUUCGAUGCAGAACGUCCUGGAUAAUAUUAAAUCCUUACUCGAGGAGGAGUCAUCCAACCCCAUGGAUGCACCGGAGCGAACAGAAUUAGAUAUUUUGAGUAGAAGUGGACUCUCUGCGGAGGAGCAAACCAAGUUGGAUGCUGACAUCGCUGAGCUCCUCAACGAAGACAUUGGCAUGGUGGAACCAGCCAGCGAAGCCCAUCUGGCUGAAAAGAAGGGGUCCGAUAGUGGCAUCGAUGAGACCAACACUGCGAUGAACUCCCUUCUCUCCAUCGGAGAGAGCAGUGGGUACGAAAGCUUCGCCUUCAAGGGUUCUUCGGAAUCUACACCGGACAAUGAACCCAGUGAGGACAGAAUAAGCGAACACGAAGAGGACCCUGGGAGAGAGCCCUGCGUAAGGCUCCACGGAGUGUCAGAAUCUGCUGUCGUUACUGCCAAUGAGGUCUCCACAGUGAACAAGCAGAGCAGAGAGAACUCGUACCACCAGGAUAUCUUCAAUGGGCAGCCUAAUGUGGGGAUCUUCCUAGAUGUCAUCCUGAGGAAAUUGGAGUGCAUGAUGAGCAACAACGUUUAUGUGAAUCUUCACUUGACGGGCCUGAUAAGCAGGCUCGCGAUAUAUCCUCAGCCACUGCUGCAGUCUUUCCUCCUGAACCACUCUCUCGUCUUUCAGCCUAGCAUCAGGUCCCUCUUCCAGGUACUUGCCUCCCUGAAGCACCGGAUAGACCAGUUCCUCGUCAAGCACGAGGAUGUGGAUCUCCUGGUGGAGCAGGCCAGGUCGUUCCUGAUCGGUCGCGAGGACAGACUCGUGAACGCCAGGAAAAACGUUCUGGAAGCCUCGGCACAAAUAGCGACGAACAGACGGAACUCCUUCGCCAGCGAGCCGUUCUCCAGAGGUGAACCAAAGAGGAGAAGUCUGACCUCGUCCUUCACGCAGAUGUUCCGAAGGACUGGUGCCAAUUCUGGUCCCAGUAGCCUCACCAAUUCUAUCAGUCAGCCGUCCAGCAUGAUAUCGGAGGACCAGUUGGAAGUCAUCGGAGAUGGCUCCGGAUACAGGUUUUACACGAAGACGUCCUGGGAGUCGCCGAACGAGAUCAGCCCGGUGCAGAACGUCGUCCUUUGUGCAGUGGUUCUCGACGAAUGGCUCAAAGAGCUCGCCGCGAUCACUCAGGAACACACGAUCACCUGUUUAACCAGCAGCUCCGAGUCGAAGGUUUAGGUCGCAAUCUAAGGUCUAGAGGAAGGUCGACGACGGGGAUAUGUGAUACACCAGUAAACGUAUAGGCAUUGUCGACAGGGUUCUUCUGCUUAUUUUUCUUUCUCUCUUUUCUUUUUCUAUUUAUCUGCCUCGAUCUCACGCAGGAAAGAGAAAUUAAUACCGAGCUCUCUCCUUAGAUCGCGACUACGUUAGGUCGAGGGCGAGUAGGGUCUCCUAGCUUUACUUUUUUUAGAGCACAAGUGGGAAUUCACGGAUCCAUUGUAGACGUGCACGCAUCGAUAGACGAAGUCGGCCGCGACGAGGACGUUCCGAGCACUUGCAAUCCUGAGCUGAAGAGAGUACCACUUAGGGGAACGAAGUGCCAAUUCAUUCGCUCCGGGAAUUGUUCCGAACGCGUUGCUCCUGUCUCGAGAUGUCCAGGUAGACGAGUGAACGCUGCUUGGGUGACGAUUACACGACCUUAAGAGUAGGUUGGAUGGUCGAAUCUUUGGUAUACGUCGAUCGAUGGAUGAUAAUAGAUUACCAGCGUGGUGACGUCGGAGGAAUGGACUGUUGACUCAUCAAGGAUGGGCCACUGUAAUGGAGGAAUCAAUGGAUUGAAUAAUUAUACUUGAAGA
rnacentral:misc_RNA from 1 species